rnacentral:rRNA from 1 species
GACGAACGCUGGCGGCGUGCCUAAUACAUGCAAGUUGAGCGCUGAAGGUUGGUACUUGUACCGACUGGAUGAGCAGCGAACGGGUGAGUAACGCGUGGGGAAUCUGCCUUUGAGCGGGGGACAACAUUUGGAAACGAAUGCUAAUACCGCAUAAAAACUUUAAACACAAGUUUUAAGUUUGAAAGAUGCAAUUGCAUCACUCAAAGAUGAUCCCGCGUUGUAUUAGCUAGUUGGUGGGGUAAAGGCUCACCAAGGCGAUGAUACAUAGCCGACCUGAGAGGGUGAUCGGCCACAUUGGGACUGAGACACGGCCCAAACUCCUACGGGAGGCAGCAGUAGGGAAUCUUCGGCAAUAGACGAAAGUCUGACCGAGCAACGCCGCGUGAGUGAAGAAGGUUUUCGGAUCGUAAAACUCUGUUGGUAGAGAAGAACGUUGGUGAGAGUGGAAAGCUCAUCAAGUGACGGUAACUACCCAGAAAGGGACGGCUAACUACGUG